rnacentral:rRNA from 1 species
UACGAAGGGGGCUAGCGUUGUUCGGAAUCACUGGGCGUAAAGGGCGCGUAGGCGGCUUUAUAAGUCGGGGGUGAAAGCCUGUGGCUCAACCACAGAAUUGCCUUCGAUACUGUAGAGCUUGAGACCGGAAGAGGUAAGUGGAACUGCGAGUGUAGAGGUGAAAUUCGUAGAUAUUCGCAAGAACACCAGUGGCGAAGGCGGCUUACUGGUCCGGUUCUGACGCUGAGGCGCGAAAGCCAGGGGAGCGAACGGG